rnacentral:rRNA from 1 species
CAGGAUGAACGCUGGCGGCGUGCUUAACACAUGCAAGUCGAACGGUGAACACGGAGCUUGCUCUGUGGGAUCAGUGGCGAACGGGUGAGUAACACGUGAGCAACCUGCCCCUGACUCUGGGAUAAGCGCUGGAAACGGCGUCUAAUACUGGAUACGAGUAGCGACCGCAUGGUCAGUUACUGGAAAGAUUUAUUGGUUGGGGAUGGGCUCGCGGCCUAUCAGCUUGUUGGUGAGGUAAUGGCUCACCAAGGCGUCGACGGGUAGCCGGCCUGAGAGGGUGACCGGCCACACUGGGACUGAGACACGGCCCAGACUCCUACGGGAGGCAGCAGUGGGGAAUAUUGCACAAUGGGCGCAAGCCUGAUGCAGCAACGCCGCGUGAGGGAUGACGGCCUUCGGGUUGUAAACCUCUUUUAGCAGGGAAGAAGCGAAAGUGACGGUACCUGCAGAAAAAGCGCCGGCUAACUACGUGCCAGCAGCCGCGGUAAUACGUAGGGCGCAAGCGUUAUCCGGAAUUAUUGGGCGUAAAGAGCUCGUAGGCGGUUUGUCGCGUCUGCUGUGAAAUCCGGAGGCUCAACCUCCGGCCUGCAGUGGGUACGGGCAGACUAGAGUGCGGUAGGGGAGAUUGGAAUUCCUGGUGUAGCGGUGGAAUGCGCAGAU